AUUUGUCUGUCCGGUCAUUUACCUGAUCUUUCAUGAACUGAUCAAGUAGGUAGCCAUGGGCCCCAUGGAUCUCAACCCCGUCAAAACCUGCAUUAUACAUAUAGAGUGAACGAGAUUAAAUCUUCUGCACCAUGGACACGUGAAACAGUCUCUUACAGCUAAAUCUUUCUCUGUAACCAAUGUAUUUUGACUACGCAUUCUACAUAACCAUGUCAGAUCACAUAUCAUAGGAUAAUUCAUGUCAGACACACAAGCUCAAAUUGAGGGCAAACACGGACACACAUCCAAAUAAUCCAAGAAUGUAGGCAUAAUGGAACAAAAAAGUAUGAACUCAACAUCUGUAAUGCCGCAUGUUAUUAUAUAGUAUAUACAAAUGAUAUCACUCUUCAGUCUUCACUAUAAUAUAUAUGCCUGAUUCAUCAACUGACGAUUAAAAUUUCUUGCUGACUAUAGUUCCAGAAAACAUUUUCAAGAAUGAUUGGUACAUAUGCGUAUGUACGUGUGCAUUUAAUAUGCGUGUUUACACAAUGGAGGAAGAGGGUGUUACCAGCUUCAAUAGCAUUCCUAGAAGCGAUUCUGAAAUCAUUAACAAUAUCGGGAAUUUCCUCAGUUUUCAACCGCCGAGGAGGUGAGAAAUCUGCUACUGGAACACCAUUGGCUCGAAUUUGAGGUGUCAACCCCUUGUCCGUGCUAGAGAUUGGAGCUUGUCCAUUAGGCUGCAAACCUGUAAAUAAGAACGGACGAUAUUCCGAUGAGUACAAUGAACAUAUUGAGAAUUACGCAAGGCAAGAAGAAUGGUUGAAGUCGAAUCUCUUUACAUUCUGAUCAACUCAAAAGGCUCACAACUAAUACUAAAAUGAAGAAGUUGAAAGCAUACCAUAAUUUGAAACCCUUCCUACAUUCCAAAUCUGGCAGAAGAAGAUACCACCCUUGGCAUGGACAGCAUCUACAAUUGGUUUCCAAGCUUCCACCUGUUCUUUUGUCCAUAUACCUGGCGUAUCGGGAUACCUACAGAAUGAAUAACAUCAUAUAUAUAUUUCAAUGAGAAAACUACAUACUAAACAGCAAUUCAAUCAUGGAAAUAAGAAAUUUCAUCUCUAACAAGCAGUAUGAAUUAAUGUCCCAUAAGAGAAUAAUCGGUACAAUUGUAGUCUACUGAAAUGAAGUUUACCCCUGAGAAGUGUCAGAAACCCCUGUGGCUUCAGCAAUUAGAAGUCCUCCUUUGGUAGUUCGCUGCGAGUAAUAUAAAAUGGCGUGUGGUUGAGGAACAUUACCAUAAGAUCUCUGUCUAGUCAGUGGUGCCAAAACUACUCUACAAAAACACAAUGAAUAAUAACAUAUUUCUUAGAUACACAUAUUCCUCAAUUUCAAUUCCCAUAAAUAAUCUAAAACAUACGAAAUUUAUAGUGAAAAAUAAAAAACCUACCUGUGUGAAAGAAGGAAAUUGCCCAUCUUGUAAGGAGUGAGAAGAGGGAUUACGUUUUCAGCAUUACUACCCAUCGUUGCAACUUUCUCUCUUUCUUUGUCUUAAUCAAAGUUGUAAUAAGCCUGAAUGAAUUCGUUCACCAGGUAUUUGCUUUUAUAGCUAUGUGAGUAUCUCAAGUCUCCACUGCUCACUUCAGGAAAGUAGAUCGCAAUUCGCACUUGAUUUGGUACAGCAACAGCAACAGCAACAGCAACAGCAUGUCACCAUCGCCUACUUGUCUUGACCUCUUGUGAGAGACACUACUCCAAGGUUCAUUUUCAUUCCAACACAACGUCACCACUUACGCAAACUUUUUUUUUCUUUCUUUUCCAAAGAACUUUCCCAUUUUAUUGGAAAGAUACUUAAAACGAUAAUCCGGUCCCGGGACUGCGCAAAUCUCCUUUGCGACCCGUAUACACUAAUACACAGUAUUUGACUAUUUGAUCAGAGCGGGUUUAAUUAUAAUUAAGCUCAUAUAAGUUCUUUAAUUUGAUUAGAGGCGGUACCCACACAACACGUCAUGCCUCCAAACAUGCCACAUGCCCACAUUCGGUUAGGCCAAAAGGAAAAAAGGACAACGUUUUUGUGAUCACGGUCUGAUCAUAACAAUUCACUCCCUUAACAAAAUAUCAUUUUUUAUCACAUGUCUAAUCAUAUACUAGAUACACACUAAAUGCAAUAAAACUAUACCCUACCCCCAUGAAUCGACCUAGUUGAAAUGCAAUCUUAAACAACCUUAUAAUCAUACCUAUAAUCACAUAAUCACGGUUUAAUCAUAUAUUAUAUAACAGUAAAUGCAAUAAAAUUAUACCCUACCCUAAUGAACCCUAGUUUCAAUGCGAUCGUAUGCAAUUAUAUGAUCAGACGUAUAAUCAUAUGAUCACAUGUCUAAUCAUAUACUACAUAACACCAAAUUUAGUAAAACUAUAUCUUACCCAAAUAAACCCUUGUUGGAAUGCGAUCUUAUGCAACCGCAUGAUCAGAUUCAAUAAUCACAUUUAUUUGGUAUGAUUAAACAUGUAAUUACAUUUAUUCGUUAGGAUCACACAUUAAUCACAACACGAGUAUGUAUGAUCACACUUAUAAUCACAUUUAUUUGUUAUGACCUGUACUCGUAUUUAUUUGUUAUGAUUAUACUUCUAAUCAAAUAUAAAUAUCUUAUGAGUAUGAUUACAGUUGUGAUCACAUAAAUCAGAGGGACAAGUGUGUAUGAUCACAUGUAUAAUCAUAAUGGCAACCACAUCUAUAUAGGGGUAAAAAUGAAAUUUUCAAAAAAAUGUGACUAUAUGAUUACAAGUCUGAUUAUAAACAUUUGUCCUUUUGACAAAGUCAAAAUAUACGGGUUUGUCCUUUUGACAAAUUAUUAGCAUGCGUUUAUCCUUUUAACAGUCACAAUUCUAAGUUUGUCUUUUUAGCUAAAAAAAAUUGGAAUAAGACCUUACCUUCUAGGUUUUUGUUAGAUAAAUGGAAUGGGACGGGUUGGGAUGGAAUUAAGUAUUUUUUUUAUCGGAUGGGUUUGGGUUCUAAUAUUAGAACCCAAGAUGGGUUCUAGGUGGGGACCGGGAAUUACAGUUGUGAAAUAGGAUGGGAUUGGGAAUUUGGGAUUAGUGAAACCCGUCCCGCAUCUGACAUUCUGACCGAUUGCCAUCCCUAAUCAGAGGAAGUUUAUGUGUUUAACUAUUUUUUUUAUUAUUAUUGCUUUGAAUUAUCGCAAAUCUCCUGUUACUGCCCAUAUACAUAGUAUUUGAUCAGAGCAGGUUUAAUUAUAAUUAAACUCAUAAUUGCUUAAAUUUUUCUGGACAAUAUUUGAUCAGAGCAGGUUUAACUUUUAAGUGUGUAACUAUUUUUUUUUUAUUUUUUUUUUUUUAAAGAAAAAUAAAAUUUUAUUGAUAAGCUCAACAAAUUACACAAAAGUAGAGGACAAACGCGCUACAAACUGUGCGGCAAGUCCUUUCUGGAUAGCAAACCCGAUUCUCCUAAAUACAUAUUCGUUCGAACCUGCAGUCAUCACGUUGCUAUCCAUUAUCUUCUGCACUCUCCUGAGGAGCUCAACUGCUUCUGAGCCUAGCAAUUCAAAUGUGUCAAAUGCAAAAGGGAUGAAACUAUGUUGGUUAGCCCUACAAGCUCCGUCAUGUUUCUCCACUUUUGCCGCUGCUGCAUUGCUAGCUGCUAGCCCCACCUCAAAAAUCCCAGCACUCAGCCCAACUAUCGGAGACGCCCCUGUAACAUCAACACACACAUGUUUACCUUCCGACCAGUUGUAGACCAGAAUAUCAGCAGGACGUAGUGUCGAUCUUCCUUCAUUAGGAUCAGUAAGAAAGUUAACAGGAGCCUCCUUCUUAACCUGUACGCCAGCCCGCCAGAACACAUCACACAAGAUAUCGCUAACGUGGUCAUGCCUGUACUUGAAGCCGGGGUAAUGCUUACAAUGGGCCGCAUGGUCCCCGAAAGCAUCAAGUCUACUCUUCUUACACACUGGACAAAGCUCACCAUCUGAAUAUAGAGGGAUCAUCAAUCGAUAACGAAGAAUGGCACGAUACUCUACAGGCGUCAUGCGUUGUCCAAGCCCUUCCAUCGGGAUAGCAAGAAGAAAAUCUUUGGCAUGUUCUGACUGUACACAUCCAAUCACGGCUUUUUGUCUAGCUGACAACUCAAAUUCCCUCUCAAGACCAGAACUAAUCUUGUUGUAGUAUGCUUCCGCCAAGACAUGUUGGGGUCUGAAGGGGACGGUAGCAGUUGGAGCAAGAUUACUGAGAUCAAAAUCAGGUAUAGAAAGAUGUAAACUAGCAAUGGCAGUAUCGAAAACAUUACCCAUAGGUGGAGUGUCACAACCUCGAAGAAUGUGGUCCUGGAGAUCCUUGGUUUGCGUACGUGAAGCUACGAAAGCAAACUUCAUAACAUCAGAGCAAGAUUAUUUUUUUUAUUUUUUAUUUUUUUAUUAUUGCUUUGAAUUUUCGGAAUUAAUUUUUUUUUGCUAAGUUUAGAAUUCACUUUUAUUGGCUCAUCACGCCCUUGAAAAAAAUCCAGAAACAAAGCUUAUGAGCGAAUCAGUAUAAACAACAAAGUGAAUCAAUAUAAACCUAAAUGGUUGCUAUUGAUCCAAUCACUCAACAAUGGAACCAUACCACCCUCAAUAAUACUUUCACACCUUCUUCUGUCCACCACAUACAGAACACGAACAUUAGAGGCAAUGGAAGUAUAGACAGAAUCAAAUGGUUAGGAACUAAGAAUGGUACUUUUUCUGUUAAAUCCAUGUACCAACUGCUCAUUGCUCCUUUAGAGAUCACUACUAACUUCCCUGCUAAGCUUAGUUUAAAGCUUUGGAAAAUUUCUGCACCUCCUCGAGCGACUCUGUUUGCUUGGAAGUGCAUUUACAAAGCUGUCCCCACUAGAGAAAGACUAGGUAGACAUAUCAUUAUUCCUACUCAAUGUUGCCCUCUGUGUGGAUGCAUUCUCGAAAGCCUUAGACAUAUGCUACUUGAGUGCCCUUUCACCCAAGCAGUUUGGUUCUCGAGUUUUCUGAACUUUAGAAUCAUUCACAUGCUAAACAUGACAACUGAAAACUGGAUUAAAGGCUGGGUUGAACCUCCUCAAAACUGGUUAGUAAUUAAAUCAACUUGGAACUCUUUUUGUGUGAUUGCCACUUGGGAAAUAUGGAAGUGCCGGUGUAAAAAAAUCUUUCAAAACUCUUGUAUGGAACCUGUUGAACUGGCCAAAUUGAUUGAUUAUAAGGUGAAGAGGGAAAUAAACAGAAUGAGACUUAUUGCACAACCUGUGACAGGAACUGUGGGUACAAUUUGGAUUCCACCAAUGGCUGAAAAUGUGAAGAUUAAUGUGGAUAUUGCCUUUACAAAUUUAGCGACAAAUAUUGGUAUUGGCUAUUUAUUCAGAGAUGCAUUUGGUACUCUUCUGUUUGCAGGAAAUGAAUCAGGUUGUGCCGGUACUGUUGAUGAGGCAGAAUGCAGAGGAAUAACCACUGCAAUCCGGAGAGGGAUCGACCACCAACUAAAGAGGGUCGAGAUCGAAACAGACAGCCAAGGAGCAGCUUACUACCUCAAUGGACAACCUGCAAACUUAAGCUGGACUGCUGUGAACAUUUUGGACAGUGCAAAAUCCUUAGCACUUAGUUAUUUUGAUUUUGUUUCCUUUAAGUACUGUAAUAGGUCUGGGAACUCUUGCGCUCAUGUCUUAGCACAGGCUGCUGACAGAAGUCUUGUGGUUCCCAAUUCUUUCUUGAUUUCACCUACUUGGCUUAAAAACCUGUUGGUUUCAGACCUUUUAUUCUGUAAUAAGGCAAUCUAAAUUAUAUAUAUAUGCUGAUUAUUAAAAAAAAAAAAGAGAACACUGACACUAAUAAUGAUACAACCGCCUACAAGGAUGUUACAUUUUCAAUUUGAAAUACUCAAACACUAGUACUAGAUUCCAGAAAUGGAUAGUCGACGUAACCGUGAACAGGAUCAGAUGUGUAGAAAGCUUCUCUGUCAUACUUGUUGAGAGGUGCAUUGAGCCCAAAUCUCCUUGGUAAAUCAGGGUUGGCUAAGAACCACCUACCAUAAGCAACAAGAUCUGCAUAAUUCUCAGCAAUCGCUUUAUUCCCAUCUUCUCUUGUAUAACCCCCAGCAGCUAUGAAAGUACCCUUGAAAGCCUUUCUCAUUGGCAGAAGACUGUGAGGAGUUUCAAACUUUUCUCCUACCAGCUUCAUCCUUGGCUCAAUCAUAUGACAGUAGAGAAUUCCAUACUUGUUUAAUGAUUCUGCCAUAUAAACACCAAGGGCUUCUGGAUUCGAGUCACCUGACUCCAUGUAAGCGGCAAAAGGAGAAAGCCUCAUUCCUACUCUGUCAGCUCCAAUUUCAUUAACAACUGCUUCCACUAUCUCUAGUGGGAAACGACACCGAUUUUCAAGAGUACCUCCAUAUCUGUCUGUCCGGUCAUUUACAUGAUCUUUCAUGAACUGAUCAAUUAGGUAGCCAUGCGCCCCAUGGAUCUCAACCCCGUCAAAACCUGCAUUAUAUAUAAAGAGAUUUAAUGGAAUAUUCAAUGAGGGUUUGCACUUUUUGUUGCUGGGCUGUGUUCUCUUUUCUUCUUUGUACUAGAAGGUUACCUUAAGCUCUUAUUUUUUCAUCAUUAUUUAUUAUUAUUUAGAUAAGUUUGUUAGGUUAACUGGACCUUAACCACUCUAUCCAGAAAUUAACUCGAGAAAAAGAAACUACUAGACUUAAACCUCCGACCAAAAUAUUGCAUUGUUAUAUAUAAAAUAUAGAUAUAUCAACCAUAUGAUCUAUGGAUACGUUACAAUAAUGCAAUGAAUUAUAAUAGGGAAUAAUCAAGGUAUUCUUUCUCCCCUGAAGAAGUCUGAACUCUUCACUCUAGUCAAUGCCAGCCAGGCAGUUUUUGAAGGUAAUUGUAGCUGCUUGAGAAGUUUGUACCAUAGUCAUAGUGUGGUGUUAGAGUUACUUCAAUGCGUUGUGAUUGUAUGUUUUGUGCUUCAUUAAAAAAGGGAACUAGAUUAAAUCUUCUGCGGGAACUAGAUUAAAUCUUCUGUACGACGGUCAUGUAAACAGUCUCUUACAGCUAAAUCUUUCUCUGUAACCAAUGUAUUUUGAUUAUGCAUCCUACAUAACCAUGUCAGAUCACAUAUCAUAGGAUAAUCCUUGUCAGAACACAAGCUCAAAACAAAGGCAAACCAGGUUGCACAUCCAAAUAAUCUAAGAAUGUAGGCGUAAUGGAACAAAAAAGUACAAACUCAUCAUUUGUAAUGCAGCAUGUUAUUAUAUAGUAUAUCCAAAGGACAUCACUCUUCAGUCAUCACUAUAGUAUAUAUGCCUGAUUCAUCAACUGACAGUUAACUUUCUUGCUGACUAUAAUUCCAGGAAAUGUUUUCAAGAAAGAUUGGUACAUAUGCGUAUAAAUGCGUGCAUUUAAAUGUAUGUGAUUAAGCAUUGGAGGAAGAGGGUGUUACCAGCUUCAAUAGCAUUCCUAGAAGCAAUUCUGAAAUCAUUAACAACAUCGGGAAUUUCCUCAGUUUUCAACCGCCGAGGAGGUGAGAAAUCUUCUGCUACCAUACCAUUGGAUUGAAUUUGAGGUGUCAACCCCUUGUCCGUGCUAGAGAUUGGAGCUUGUCCAUUAGGCUGAAAACCUGUAAAUAAGUACAAUGCAAAUAUGAGAAAUACGCAAGGAAAGAAGAAUGGUUGAAGAUGUUUACAUUUUGACCAACUCAAAAGGCUUACAACUAAUAUUAUAAUGAAGAGCAUACCAUAACUUGAAACCCUUCCACAGUGAAUAAUUUGGCAAAAGAAGAUACCACCCUUGGCAUGGACAGCAUCUACUAUGGGUUUCCAAGCUUCCACAUGCUCUUUUGUCCAUAUACCAGGUGUAUCAGUAUACCUACAACAUGGAUAACAUAUUAGCAUCAUAUAUACGUUAAUAAAAAAACUACAUACUUAUAUAGCAAUUCAAUUACAGAAAUAAGAAAUUAAUUAUAUUGUAGCCUACUGAAAUACAGUAAAAAGUUUACCCUUGGGAAGUGUCAGAAACCCCUGAGGCUUCAGUAAUUAGAAGUCCUCCUUUGGUAGUUCUUUGUGAGUAAUAUAAAAUGGCGUGCGGUUGAGGAACAUGACCGUAAGAUCUCUGCCUAGCCAUUGGUGCCAAAACUACUCUACAAAAACACAAUGAACAAUUAAAGAUUUCUUGGAUACACAUACAGUAUUCCUGAAUUUCCAAUCACCAUAAUAAUCUACCUAAACCACAGAGUUCAAUAGUUCAUGAUUAAACAACAUUGAGGUCAUCUAAGCUACAAAAUCAAAUAAGAAAUGUAUAUUGAAAAACAAACCUACCUGUGUGAAAGAUGGAAAUUGCCCAUUUUGUAAGGAGUGAGAAGAGGGAUCACGUUUUCAUCGUUACUACCCAUCGUUGCAAAUUCUCUCUUUUGCUUGUUUGUUUAGAUUAAGCUUGUAACCUUGAAUGAACAACUUGUUCACCAGGUAUUUGAUUUUAUAGCUAAAUGAGAGAAUUAUUUUUUGAACAGUGCAUUUAAAGGUGCGUGUUAGAGUUUUUCUUUUCUGUUUGCAGGAUAAACUUUUGUGCUAAAUCAACCGACUUCAUCGUGAGCAAGAAACUUCUCGACCACUAACCAACUCCCGCGGGACUAAAGUUUAAGCCAUGGACGUAGAUCACACAUGAACAGCGUUUUCAUUCCAAUACAACGUCACGACUUACAUAAACUUUUUUUUUUUUUCAAAGAACUUUCCCAUUUUAUUGGAAAGAUACUUAAACAAUAAUCUGGUCCCGUGACAGUUGUACAGCAUAUAACCUACUUAACCAACUCCCGCGGGACUAAAGUUUAAGCCAUGGACGUAGAUCACACAUGAACAGCGUUUUCAUUCCAAUACAACGUCACGACUUACGUAAACUUUUUUUUUUUUUUCAAAGAACUUUCCCAUUUUAUUGGAAAGAUACUUAAACAGUAAUCUGGUCCCGUGACAGUUGUACAGCAUAUAACCUACUUAUCCCACAUCACAACACGUCAACACCCCAAGCUACUACUAGUACCGACAAAGGCAACACUACAGGUCUCGUAUCAUACACUAACUGAUUUCUCUUCAGUGCUGCCCCUGUUCGGGGUUAUAUCCAGCCAAGACCAGGCCUGGCAGAUUGCCCUUUUGCAGAAGUCUCGAACAUUGACAGAGCCCAUAUUGAACGGUAUGUCAUCCCUGUUCUUCCAUACCAACCAUAGCCUUCAGUAAGGUAGAAUCUGCCAGAUAGCAAGAGCAGCUCCUCUGGUGCAGGUCAGACCACUGCAUAAGAAAAUCCCUGACAGUCCCAUGUCUUUGUGACAAGAAAUUGUUCAAGUGUUCAUGAUAAUUGACAAGAAAUUGAGUCCCAAAUGUUUGAUUCGUGUUAAUAUGAUGUAAUCUGAGGCUCAUAAGCUAAGAUUCACAAUUUUGAAGUUAUAAUAAUUAAAUUAUUUAACUCAUAAUUUCUUUAGUUUUCUAGACAAUAUUUGAUAAGAGCAGGUUUAAUUGAUUUUUUGUAUUGUUUUGAAAGUAAUUUGUUGGCAGGUUUAGAAUUUACUUUUAUUGGCUCAUCACGCCCGUAAAAUAAGAUUCAGAAACAAAGCUUAUGAGCUAAUCAGUAUAAACCACAAAUUGAAUCAAUAUAAGCUUGGUACGCAGACUUGCCAAUGGCCUAUUUUAUUGGGCACAUUAUUUAGUUGCCCUGAGCUCCUGAUGUGCUAGUGGAGCAAUGGCCAGGCUAUGUACUAUUACAAUAGGUGUUGAUACUUAACACUACUGAUCUGUUACAUUCUAAUUGGAUAUUUGGAUACCGCAGUACUAGAUUCCAGAAAUGGAUAGUCAACAUAACCGACAACAGGAUCAGAUACGUAGAAAGUCUCUCUGUUGUAUUUGUUAAGAGGUGCGUCAAGUUCAAAUCUUUUGGGCAAAUCAGGGUUGGCUAAGAACCACCUACCGUAAGCAACAAGAUCGGCAUAAUCAUCAGCAAUUGCUUUAUUCCCAUCUUCUCUAGUAUAACCCCCAACGACUAUGAAGGUACCCUUGAAAGCCUUUCUCAUUGGUAGAAGACUGUGAGGAGUUUCAAACUUUUCUCCUAACAGCUUCAUCCUUGGCUCAAUCAUAUGACAGUAGAGAAUUCCAUACUUGUUUAAUGAUUCUGCCAUAUAAAGACCAAGAGCUUCUGGAUUUGAGUCGCCUGACUCCAUAUAAUUGGCAAAAGGAGAAAGCCUAAUUCCCACUCUAUCUGCACCAAUUUCAUUAACAACUGCUUCUACUACUUCCAGAGGGAAACGACACCGAUUUUCGAGUGUACGCCCAUAUAUGUCAGUCCGGUCAUUGAUUCGAUCUUUAAGGAACUGAUCAAGUAGGUAGCCAUGCGCCCCAUGGAUCUCAACCCCGUCAAAACCUGCAUGAAAAUAACAUAUAUUCAUACUUCAUAGUAUAGGGAUUAAUUUGGAGAAACCUCUGUGUUUUAACUGUUAAAAGCUAGAAAAAAUAAAAUAACAUAUAUUCAUAGGGCAAGAGAGAAGGUAUAAGCGACAGUAAAGAAUAUUACUUGAUUGUCAGAAAAGAUUGAUUUCUUUACUCUACAUUUCUAUUAAUACAAACAGUUUGUUCGUUCACUAAACCAACGAAAAUUUAUUUUGAAAAAAAUCAUGCAUUGUAGUAUAAUCAUGUCAGGAAAAAGCAUUCUGUGCGAACUUAUCUAAAAGCUUAGUGCACCCACUGUAGCCAAUGUAGUCCUAGUGUAUGCAAUCUACUUUCAAAACAUACUUUCUGUGUAGGAUAUUUUAUCACAUAAACCAUGUCAGAACACAAGAGCUCAAAUCAAGAGUUUACAUGGAUCAACCCAAACAAACCAAGAAUUAAGGCUAGUGGAACAAAAAUAUGAUCACAACAUUUUUUAACACCACAUGUUAUUGUGGACGAAGAAUUCCAUCUUCAUUAUACUAAAUAUGCCUGAUUGAGCAAUCUGUCACGCACCAAGUUUCGAGAUAGAAAAAAACACCCUCCCAUGUCGGAUAUUUAACCAUCCCAAAACUUAGGACGCAAGCGGGGUCCACAUGAAUUAUCUCAAGUAAAUAUAACACAUAAAAAACCAUGGCCCUCAUGGCAUUCGUAGUAUAAUCAUACAUAUACUAAUAAAAGGAAAUUUUACCAGAACGGUCGAUUUGUAUAUAUAUAACAAAAAGUGUAAAUCACCGAAAAUAAAAACUGAAUGCUCACGCCCUUGUUGAUUAUAAUUUUAGAAUAUAUAUCCAAUCAAGGGUUUAUUAUCUGUCCAUAGUGUACUUUUUAAGCAUAGAGAAAAGAGAGUUACCAGC
rnacentral:lncRNA from 1 species